CCACUGACAGUCGGCCACGCCAUGUUGAAUUCAAUCAGUUGUCUGAUGGUCGUCUGUUAUUUUUUACCUUUGGAUAGGUGGUCGCGUCGGAAAGGAUGAUUCGGUAAUUGCGAUAAAUAAAAACAUAAAUGCCCAUAAUCUAAAUAGACUUUAUAAUCAGUUCGGGGCUAUUUAAUUAGAGUGUUCAAUGCGGUUCUAUUCAUAAUUAAUCGGCCGAUUUUAAUACCGAAAAGUGUAUGUGUAUGUGUGUGUACAGGGAGAUAAUCGAUUUGUCAACGCGAGGUUUAGAUUAGAAUUUCGGUUCAUUAAUUGACCCUAGGAGGUGCAAGUGAUGGUUAACAUGAAACCAUUCCCUGUUGCGACUAAUCCAAUCCAACGUUUCUUGGUAGCCGAAGUUAGUGUAAAUAGUGCGGUGUGAAUUUAUCGGUUUUGAUUAAUCGGAUGAGCCGAUAGAUCAUCGGGCAUUCACAUCUACCAUCUAGUUUCCCCUGGAGUUGGUCAACACUUAAGCCAGUUACGCUUUCCGGUAGUUGUAAAUGGUUAUUAAACGCGACAUGUGCCGUAGCGCGUUAUUGACUCUUGAGUUUUAAUUGCAAUUAACUAUUAACGUUCCAGUUCAUCAAAGUGUGGUUUCGAUCAUUGUCUAUUACGUUACCUACAUGAAAAUGUGUGUGAUUAGUGAAUUGGAACUUCUUGGAUAAUCAGCUGCAUUGAAGAUUAUUAGAUAACAAUUUCAGUGAAUUAUGGAAGUUGAUGAAGCUGUUGUGGAUCUGAGUCUGGGAACCAACAGUAUCCGUCAUUCUCCACCGCGACCACCUUCAAACGAAGUAUCCUCCACGAGUGAUAUUCAUCCACCUCCGCCACCAACUAUGGUGAAUUCAAGGCGAGUUCUAAGGCCGCGAACGGAGCCUCGCAGCUACGUGGAAUCGCCAGACGCUCUAAUAAAUGGCUCAUUAGAUAGGCGAUUGAAUGGAAGCGGUUUGGAAUUCGGUGAUACUGAUUCGAGCGAUGGAGAAAUGCCUCCGUUGCCUCCGCCCAUCAAAGAACUAUCACCGGAUGAGUUGAAGCAAAGGGACAGAGGCUUAAGAAGACUGAGAGAAGAGUUGCGGGCAGAAGAAAUGAAACUGGUCCUUUUGAAAAAAAUGAAACAGUCGCAACAGCUCAAGGAAAAUGUUCAAUUGCCUUCAGGUGUUCCGCCUUCCGCUUUGCCCCCAACGGGGCUACCUAGUGGCCUAAGUAUUACACCGACUAUUGUUAAGGUUCCUGUGGCUACUAGCAAAGGCCAAACACCGCAAGCUGCUCAUACUAGACAUCCUAGUACACCAAACGUGCAUCCAAAGAACCUCUCGUCUGGUGUACCAUCAUUACUAAGAGGGCAACCGUCUUCUACUAUCCGCAGUAGCGUCCAUUCGCCCCAAAUUACAGCAACUCCUUUGGGCAGUCGGGCUGCCAAUUUGUCAAUUUCUCAGCAAUCGCAACGUCCCGGAAGUAUGACUCGAGGACCACCAGGAUUUCCACCUGGAGUCAAAGACUUAUCGCCUUCAGUCACAAUAACACCGGCUCCUCCACAAGCUAUAAAGGAUCGAUCUCGAGAGGAUAAUCAAACUCCCGCUCAAAGGCAGGCGGCAGCCAAACUAGCGCUUCGAAAACAGCUGGAAAAAACACUGUUGCAGAUUCCACCACCGAAACCGCCGCCUCCAGAGAUGCACUUUAUUCCAAAUCCCAGCAAUACAGAAUUCAUUUACUUGGUGGGCUUGGAACAUGUGGUAGAUUUCCUUACUAAAGAAACGAAAAUGCCCUUACCGCCUCAACCUUACAGUUGUAGUCAGUGCAAUACCGACUUCACUCCUGUUUGGAGAUGGGAGCCGAAAAGCAAAAAUAAACCUGCAAAGGUUAUAUGUGAACAAUGUGUUACUAAUAACGUGAAAAAAGGACUAAAGGCUGAGCAUACUAAUAGACUUAAAACUGCAUUCGUGAAAGCGCUACAGCAGGAGCAGGAAAUUGAACAGAGACUAGCACAAAACGGUUCCUUUUCAACUAGCAGCCCAGCCCAAUCACCAUCAGGGCAGGAACCACCGGCGCCCAAAUCUGUGACACCGACGCCUGCUCCUCGAUUGGCUGCUACUCCUACGCCUCCUGCACCGCCUCCGCCUGCUCAACCGACGCCGCCUCCUGCCUCCUCAAGAGGCAGUCAUCAGACUAUGUCUCAAUCAGCGCAGGACAAAUACACCGCACAAAAUGCUGCUGCCAUGCAGGCGUUCCAACAACAAUUGAUCAGAAGUAUAGCACAAGGAGGUUCUCCGGCUGGAGCUCAUUUGAUGCAUCUGCCUUUGUUCUAUCCUUAUCAGUUGGCGAUGGCACAGGCUCAGGCUGCAGCUGCGAGCGGAAAAAGUGGAGUGGCCCCGAAUAUUGCGGAACAAAUGCAACGGGCCGCAGAUAUGCAGCGCCAGUACCUGUUAGGUAAACGCAAUUCCCAUAAGCAAAACCCACCGUUUUGACCAAACCCAACUGCUUUGCGAAAAAACGCUAGACGACAUUUGCUUGAUAUGUAUAUAUGAUUCCUCCAGCACCUGGACAGCGCCACAACUGGAAAACGUGAUGUGAUUAAGUAAUUAGAUAGGAAGUACACUGUUCAUAUGUCUGUUAUUUCCAAAUGUUUGCACUGGUUGAUUUUCGGAUCUGUUCUUCUAGGCGGUUAAACAUAAAUUUAACCUUUGUAGGCCCAAUCUGCAACGAUUUAUUAUGUAUGGGGGUUGUUCUACAAACACUAAUUUUUAAUGUAGUAGGAAUUAUUGUUUGGCAUUUGGCUGUGAUUUGAUGCAACAGGACGUACGACAUCAAGUGCUCGAAGUUAACGAAUAUGAAUUUUUCAUAAAACAUUACAUUUUCUGAAUAUCCGAUGAACUAACACUAAACUUAAUACGGGCAGGUUGUUGUCUUCGUUUGUAAUAAUUUAUUUCAUUUAGAUACUAACCGGUUGGAGCUAAAACAUGUAGAACACCCUGUAUAUAUUAGGACAACGAGUUCAGACAUUGGAAGUGUUGAAUUUUUGUUAUGAAGCGAUGUUUUUUUUUAAUCAGUCAAAUGAAGACAUUUUAUUUGGAGGUGCACAGUUCGAGCCAACAAAGCAGACUUUUAGUUAAUUAUAGGCGUUUAAGUUCACAUGUGUGGUUUGCGUAAUGGCUAAUUCCAUAUAUUAUUAUUCCAUAAUAAAUUAUUUAAGCGGUUUGAAAAAA